rnacentral:tRNA from 1 species
AGGAGUGUAGCUCAAUUGGUAGAGCGCCGGUCUCCAAAACCGGAGGUUGUGGGUUCAAGUCCCCCCACUCCUGCCA